rnacentral:rRNA from 1 species
UCAAAUGAAUUGACGGGGGCCCGCACAAGCGGUGGAGCAUGUGGUUUAAUUCGAUGCAACGCGAAGAACCUUACCUACUCUUGACAUCCAGAGAACUUUCCAGAGAUGGAUUGGUGCCUUCGGGAACUCUGAGACAGGUGCUGCAUGGCUGUCGUCAGCUCGUGUUGUGAAAUGUUGGGUUAAGUCCCGCAACGAGCGCAACCCUUAU